rnacentral:rRNA from 1 species
GAUGAACGCUGGCGGCGUGCCUAAUACAUGCAAGUCGAGCGAACAGACGAGGAGCUUGCUCCUCUGACGUUAGCGGCGGACGGGUGAGUAACACGUGGAUAACCUACCUAUAAGACUGGGAUAACUUCGGGAAACCGGAGCUAAUACCGGAUAAUAUAUUGAACCGCAUGGUUCAAUAGUGAAAGACGGUUUUGCUGUCACUUAUAGAUGGAUCCGCGCCGCAUUAGCUAGUUGGUAAGGUAACGGCUUACCAAGGCAACGAUGCGUAGCCGACCUGAGAGGGUGAUCGGCCACACUGGAACUGAGACACGGUCCAGACUCCUACGGGAGGCAGCAGUAGGGAAUCUUCCGCAAAGGGCGAAAGCCUGACGGAGCAACGCCGCGUGAGUGAUGAAGGUCUUCGGAUCGUAAAACUCUGUUAUUAGGGAAGAACAAAUGUGUAAGUAACUAUGCACGUCUCGACGGUACCUAGUCAGAAAGCCACGGCUAACUACGUG